UUACGGACGACUUUGCAGACAAAAGUCUGUAAAAUUUUGCGGCUCGUGUCUGUAAUUGCCUUUUACUACAUGAAAUCUAUUUUCUUGACCAAGAUGGCGUCUCUCGUUUCAAGCGACCAGUGCGCUGAUCAGAGUUAUUUGUGCACUGUUUAACCGCCAUUCAGGUGGCGCCGUAUUCGUGCUGCGCAGAUCAUGUGACGGCUGCUUGGCGGUAUUUUGGCAGACGACAGUACAAACUACAUCUGCUGCAUGUUGAAGUUUGUUACGGCGGCACUGCUUCUCCAAACUUGCAUUUUGACUGACUGUAAAAGCCGCAAAAGUGUUGCGGUGCAACGAAAGACAUUCGUUCCUGUCGCGGCUGCUGUCCUCUCCUGUGUGCGCACUGUUGCGCUACAUGAAAGGUGAGCAAAAUACAGUGCAGUACCAGCUUGUGGUG